rnacentral:tRNA from 1 species
UCCGGUGUGGUCUAGUGGCUAGGAUACCUGGCUUUCACCUAGGAGGCCCGGGUUCGAUUCCCGGCGUCGGAG